AAUAAACGCUGGCGGCGCGCCUAAUACAUGCAAGUCGAGCGAGAAGGUGUAGCAAUACACUUGUAAAGCGGCGAACGGGUGAGGAAUACAUGGGUAAUCUACCAUCGAGUGGGGAAUAACCAACCGAAAGGUUGGCUAAUACCGCGUACGCCUCCGAGUCUUCGGGUUCGGAGGGAAAGCUGCACUGUGAGUGUAGCGCUCUUUGAUGAGCUCAUGUCCUAUCAGCUUGUUGGUAGGGUAACGGCCUACCAAGGCUUUGACGGGUAGCUGGUCUGAGAGGACGAUCAGCCACACUGGCACUGCGACACGGGCCAGACUCCUACGGGAGGCAGCAGUAAGGAAUAUUGCGCAAUGGGCGAAAGCCUGACGCAGCGACGCCGCGUGGGGGAUGAAGGUCUUCGGAUUGUAAACCCCUUUCGGGAGGGAAGAUGGAACGAGCAAUCGUUCGGACGGUACCUCCAGAAGCAGCCACGGCCAACUUCGUGCCAGCAGCCGA
rnacentral:rRNA from 1 species